GAUGAACGCUGGCGGCGUGCCUAAUACAUGCAAGUAGAACGCUGAAGCUUGGUGCUUGCACCGAGCGGAUGAGUUGCGAACGGGUGAGUAACGCGUAGGUAACCUGCCUCUUAGCGGGGGAUAACUAUUGGAAACGAUAGCUAAUACCGCAUAAAAGUCGAUAUCGCAUGAUGUUGACUUGAAAGGUGCAAUUGCAUCACUAAGAGAUGGACCUGCGUUGUAUUAGCUAGUUGAUGAGGUAACGGCUCACCAAGGCGACGAUACAUAGCCGACCUGAGAGGGUGAUCGGCCACACUGGGACUGAGACACGGCCCAGACUCCUACGGGAGGCAGCAGUAGGGAAUCUUCGGCAAUGGGGGCAACCCUGACCGAGCAACGCCGCGUGAGUGAAGAAGGUUUUCGGAUCGUAAAGCUCUGUUGUAAGAGAAGAACGAGUGUGAGAGUGGAAAGUUCACACUGUGACGGUAACUUACCAGAAAGGGACGGCUAACUACGUGCCAGCAGCCGCGGUAAUACGUAGGUCCCGAGCGUUAUCCGGAUUUAUUGGGCGUAAAGCGAGCGCAGGCGGUUAGAUAAGUCUGAAGUUAAAGGCUGUGGCUUAACCAUAGUACGCUUUGGAAACUGUUUAACUUGAGUGCAGAAGGGGAGAGUGGAAUUCCAUGUGUAGCGGUGAAAUGCGUAGAUAUAUGGAGGAACACCGGUGGCGAAAGCGGCUCUCUGGUCUGUAACUGACGCUGAGGCUCGAAAGCGUGGGGAGCAAACAGG
rnacentral:rRNA from 1 species